GGGCCGCUAGCUCAGUUGGUAGAGCAGCUGACUCUUAAUCAGCGGGUCGGGGGUUCGAAUCCCUCGCGGCUCACCA
rnacentral:tRNA from 1 species